UUCAAUACUUUCUAAGGUUAACAUGUACGUGUGUUUUUCCAGUGUCCUCAUCCACUAAGCCCCGGCAGCCUCCCGGCGAGGUGCUGUCGGUGGCGGGCUACCACUACAGCAGACACGGCGUCAACAAGUACAACGCCGUGUGGUGGCGCUGCACCCGCACCUCCGCCGGCUGCCCUUGCUCACUCAUCACCGUUGAUGAUAAAAUCGUCAGGGUCAUUAACCGACAUUCUCAUUGACACGGAUAUCGUGUCACAAUCCAUGUGGUUCUCAAGGUCUAGACGCGACCAGCCCAUUUUGCACAUCGGGAUAAACAAAUUCCACCGUCAUAGUCGCUGCAAGGGGCCUAAGGUCCAGUGGCUGUGUGCCAAGUGGUUCAAAGGUUGCCGAGCCAUGGUCACUACGAUUGACAAUCAAAUAAUUAAGACGUCAAACAGACACAAUCAUUUUUAAAUACGAUACAGAGAAGAAGAUUUUAAGAUAGAGGCUGCGUUGAGUGCAGGAAUCUUACAUGAACACAUCACGCCUCUUGUCGUAGGGAAUGCACCUACAAAUUACCAAGUCCAUAGGAUCUUACUUUUACAAUAUAAUAGUAAUAAUAAAUUGUAUGUACCCUACACAACAAUUUAAUAAAGAUAUAUUAAAAACAAAAAUAAUUUUCGUACUCUAAUAGAUAUAUUUCUUUCAGUAGAUCAGUAAGAGAAGAAAAUAAUAAA